rnacentral:rRNA from 1 species
AAAAACUCCGGUGGUAUGAGAUGGGCCCGCGUCUGAUUAGCUAGUUGGCGGGGUAACGGCCCACCAAGGCGACGAUCAGUAGCCGACCUGAGAGGGUGACCGGCCACAUUGGGACUGAGACACGGCCCAAACUCCUACGGGAGGCAGCAGUGGGGAAUAUUGCACAAUGGGGGAAACCCUGAUGCAGCGACGCCGCGUGAGCGAUGAAGUAUUUCGGUAUGUAAAGCUCUAUCAGCAGGGAAGAAGAUGACGGUACCUGACUAAGAAGCCCCGGCUAACUACGUGCCAGCAGCCGCGGUAAUACGUAGGGGGCAAGCGUUAUCCGGAUUUACUGGGUGUAAAGGGAGCGUAGACGGCGGUGCAAGCCAGAUGUGAAAGCCCGGGGCUCAACCCCGGGACUGCAUUUGGAACUGUAUGGCUGGAGUGUCGGAGAGGCAGGCGGAAUUCCUAGUGUAGCGGUGAAAUGCGUAGAUAUUAGGAGGAACACCAGUGGCGAAGGCGGCCUGCUGGACGAUGACUGACGUUGAGGCUCGAAAGCGUGGGGAGCAAACAGGAUUAGAUACCCUGGUAGUCCACGCCGUAAACGAUGACUACUAGGUGUCGGGCAGC